GUUCCCUUAGCUCAGUGGUACGAGCAUCGUACUUAUGAUGCGAUGGUCCCGAGUUCAAUCCUCGGAGGGAACA
rnacentral:tRNA from 1 species